rnacentral:misc_RNA from 1 species
GAUGAAGAACGUAGCAAAAUGCGAUAAGUAAUGUGAAUUGCAGAAUUCAGUGAAUCAUCGAAUCUUUGAACGCACAUUGCGCCCGCUGGUAUUCCGGCGGGCAUGCCUGUUCGAGCGUCAUUUCAACCCUCAAGCCCCCCGGGUUUGGUGUUGGGGACCGGCUCUGCCUCACGGCGGUGCCGCCCCCGAAAUACAUUGGCGGUCUCGCUGCAGCCUCCAUUGCGUAGUAGCUAACACCUCGCAACUGGAACGCGGCGCGGCCAUGCCGUAAAACCCCAACUUCUGAAUGUUGACCUCGGAUCAGGUAGGAAUACCCGCUGAACUUAAGCAUAUCAAUAAGCGGAGGA